ACUCGAGCGAAACGAGAGAACGUUGCCGCAGGCAACGGCCCGAAGGGCGAGGCGCUUUAGCGCCGAGUAAUCCUUCCCCCACCACCA
rnacentral:sRNA from 1 species